UACGUAGGGGGCAAGCGUUGUCCGGAAUCAUUGGGCGUAAAGCGCGUGUAGGCGGCCUAGUAAGUCCGUUCUGAAAGCCCGGGGCUCAACCCCGGGAGGCGGAUGGAUACUGCUGGGCUCGAGUCCGGAAGAGGCAAGUGGAAUUCCCGGUGUAGCGGUGAAAUGCGCAGAUAUCGGGAGGAACACCAAUGGCGAAGGCAGCUUGCUGGGACGGUACUGACGCUGAGACGCGAAAGCGUGGGGAGCAAACAGG
rnacentral:rRNA from 1 species